UGGUGGUACCACUGACUUUGAGGUAUCUGUGUUGUUGGUGGUACCACUGACUUUGAGGUAUCUGUGUUGUUGGUGGUACCACUGACUUUGAGGUAUCUGUGUUGUUGGUGGUACCACUGACUUUGAGGUAUCAGUGUUGUUGGUGGUGUUGGUGGUACCACUGACUUUAAUGUAUCUGUGUUGUUGGUGGUACCACUGACUUUGAGGUAUCUGUGUUGUUGGUGGUGUUGGUGGUACCACUGACUUUGAGGUAUCUGUGUUGUUGGUGGUACCACUGACUUUGAGGUAUCUGUGUUGUUGGUGGUACCACUGACUUUGAGGUAUCUGUGUUGUUGGUGGUGUUGGUGGUACCACUGACUUUGAUGUAUCUGUGUUGUUGGUGGUACCACUGACUUUGAGGUAUCUGUGUUGUUGGUGGUACCACUGACUUUGAGGUAUCUGUGUUGUUGGUGGUACCACUGACUUUGAGGUAUCUGUGUUGUUGGUGGUGUUGGUGGUACCACUGACUUUGAGGUAUCUGUGUUGUUGGUGGUACCGCUGACUUUGAGGUAUCUGUGUUGUUGGUGGUACCACUGACUUUGAGGUAUCUGUGUUGUUGGUGGUACCACUGACUUUGAGGUAUCUGUGUUGUUAGUGGUACCACUGACUUUGAGGUAUCUGUGUUGUUGGUGGUACCACUGACUUUGAGGUAUCUGUGUUGUUGUGGUACCACUGACUUUGAAGUAUCUGUGUUGUUGGUGGUACCACUGACUUUGAGGUAUCUGUGUUGUUGGUGGUACCACUGACUUUGAGGUAUCUGUGUUGUUGGUGGUACCACUGACUUUGAGGUAUCUGUGUUGUUGGUGGUACCACUGACUUUGAGGUAUCUGUGUUGUUGGUGGUACCACUGACUUUGAGGUAUCUGUGUUGUUGGUGGUGUUGGUGGUACCACUGACUUUGAGGUAUCAGUGUUGUUGGUGUUACCACUGACUUUGAGGUAUCUGUGUUGUUGGUGGUACCACUGACUUUGAGGUAUCUGUGUUGUUGGUGGUACCACUGACUUUGAGGUAUCUGUGUUGUUGGUGGUACCCCUUACAUUAUGGCGUCCUUAUUGCUUGGGUAACACUGACUUCUAGUUAUCCUUAUGAGGAGUGGUACCCUUAAUGAUUGCAUAUUACUAUCCUCUGUGGAUUACUACAUUUACUGGCAAACUGUCUGAGAGACACAAUUUGCUGAAUAAAAUAUACUGUGUGUAAAA